rnacentral:lncRNA from 1 species
UCCAUUUCUAUCAUCUCAUAUUGUGGUACGCAGUUCACAUCCAAGUUUUGGAAAAAAUUGCAUGAUGAGUUGGGCACUCAACUCACUUUUGGUACAAUUUUCCAUCCACAGACGGACGGACAGACAGUCAGAGAGGACAAUUCAAGUGUUAGAGGACAUGUUGAGAGCAUGUGUGAUUGACUUUGGAGGGCAUUGGGAUAAGUUCCUACCGUUAUGUGAGUUCUUCUACAAUAAUAGUCUCGAAAUUCUGUUUACAUUCCUACUCUAUUCAAAUAAAGAGAAACGUCGUGGUGACUCAACAAAUGAACAAUUAACUCAAUUUUAAAAGCAAACAAAUUUUAAAGGAAUCGCCACCUAAUUUUAGGAAAAACUAGGAAACCAAUUAAAUGAUCUACGAAACCAAUAGAUUAUAGGUAAGGAUUCAAGUAAUUUCGAAGGAAAGGUGUUAGGCAUCCUUCGAAAUCCACAAUUGUGAGUUCCGACUGAAUUCAAUUUUUCAAAUUGAGGAGGAGAUAAAAAACAAAUAUACAAAUAUAAUAAACAUGCAAUAUACACAAGUAAUAAAAUAAAAAUAAUAAUAUAAGAUACGACCUAAAUUUAAAGUUUGUCUAACAUCGAUAUAUACAAAAUAAUGAAUAAACAAUAUAAUUCAAAUUUCAUUUGAAUAGCUCCAAUGAAAAGCGGCUCUGGGGUACCUGUAAAGACGCUUAGUAAAAGUGUUAGUAAUAAAUAAAUAAAAAUAAAAUGAAUAAUUCAAAUAAUAACUUAAAAAUAAAAAUCCGUCUUAUAUACAGUGGGAGACCUUAGAAAUCGACGGUAAUUUCUUCAUUGGCCAAUUUUAACAAACAAAAAUAUGUGAACUUAAACUAAAUUUCUGUUUUUUACAAUGGAGAGACCUCCAAAACCGAUGGAGAGAUUUUCUCAUUGGCCAAAAAAUAAAACGAUAAAAAUAAAAACAAAUGACCUAAACAAAUGAGAAUAAUCAACAGGACAAUGGUAAAUAAAGUUGGUAACUAGUAAAACUGCAAACUAGGACAACAUUCAAAUAUAUGAUAUAUUAGUUCACAAGUAACAAUACUUGGAAUAAACAAAAAUAACUUCAAAAGUAGAGAAAAAUAGAAAUUUUGUAAGAAACAAGUUUUCAAUAAACAUGAACACAUAAUGAAAGAAAUAACAUUAAUAACGGUCCAAACAAUAAUGAACUGUAGGUAACAAGCUAACAAAUAAUGAGAAAUUCAAAAUAAUUACCAACUUAUAUAAUAGUCAAAACAAAGGCAAGAAACAAAGGAAGUAAAACUAUGAUAAAUAUGACCAAGCAAAGUUAAGAUAGACAUA